rnacentral:ncRNA from 1 species
ACUGUGUCAGAGUGUAUGUGAUCAUAGCAAUUGCAGUAUUGGGCUCGAUAAAUCCUUUGAAGACGACUUAAUUGCAUCCGGGUAUGUAAGUGUGAGAGUAGGCUUAGUCUUACGAUCCACUGAGAUUCAUCCCGUGUUGCGCCGAUUUGU